AAUGAAUGUGCAUCCACUGUCAACCGACCCUGUGAACAAAUUUGUGUGAACACAGCUGGAGGCUACUCAUGUUCCUGUACUGCUGGCUAUGUUGUUAGUGCUACUGAUCCCACAAAAUGUGUUGUGCAGACAGUAAGAACAGGUGACUGCAGUACUUCCCCCUGCCAACAAACCUGCACCAACACUGCCACAGGCUACACCUGUUCCUGCAGGACAGGUUUUGCUGUCAGUGUGACUAACUCUUCAGCUUGUCAAGGUA